rnacentral:rRNA from 1 species
UACGAAGGGGGCUAGCGUUGCUCGGAAUCAUUGGGCGUAAAGCGCGUGUAGGCGGCCCGAUAAGUCCGGCUGUGAAAGUCGGGGGCUUAACCCUCGGAUGCCGGUGGAUACUGUCGGGCUGAGUACGGAAGAGGCGGAGUGGAAUUCCUGGUGUAGCGGUGAAAUGCGCAGAUAUCAGGAGGAACACCAAUUGCGAAGGCAGCUCGCUGGGACGUUACUGACGCUGAGACGCGAAAGCGUGGGGAGCAAACAGG